rfam:Brachypodium distachyon strain Bd21 chromosome 1, whole genome shotgun sequence.
UACAUACUCCCUCCGUCCAACAAAGGAUGUCUCAACUUUUGACUAAAUUUGAAUGCAUCUAUAUACUAAGUCAUGUCUAGAUUCAUCCAAAUUUUGACAAACUUGAGACAUCUUUUGUUGGACGGAGGGAGUAAAUU